UUGAUCAUGGCUCAGGACGAACGCUGGCGGCGUGCCUAAUACAUGCAAGUCGAACGCUUCUUUCCUCCCGAGUGCUUGCACUCAAUUGGAAAGAGGAGUGGCGGACGGGUGAGUAACACGUGGGUAACCUACCCAUCAGAGGGGGAUAACACUUGGAAACAGGUGCUAAUACCGCAUAACAGUUUAUGCCGCAUGGCAUAAGAGUGAAAGGCGCUUUCGGGUGUCGCUGAUGGAUGGACCCGCGGUGCAUUAGCUAGUUGGUGAGGUAACGGCUCACCAAGGCCACGAUGCAUAGCCGACCUGAGAGGGUGAUCGGCCACACUGGGACUGAGACACGGCCCAGACUCCUACGGGAGGCAGCAGUAGGGAAUCUUCGGCAAUGGACGAAAGUCUGACCGAGCAACGCCGCGUGAGUGAAGAAGGUUUUCGGAUCGUAAAACUCUGUUGUUAGGGAAGAACAAGGACGUUAGUAACUGAACGUCCCCUGACGGUAUCUAACCAGAAAGCCACGGACGCUGAGGCUCGAAAGCGUGGG
rnacentral:rRNA from 1 species